GGAGAGAUGGCUGAGUGGACUAAAGCAUCGGAUUGCUAAUCCGUUGUACAAAUUUUUGUACCG
rfam:Cajanus cajan chromosome 8, whole genome shotgun sequence.